GUCUUAGUAGCUCAGAUGGCAGGGCACCGGACUAGCGAUCCAGUGGUCGUGGGUUCAAAUCCCAUCCAAGACA